GCGGUAGUGGCGAAAUUGGUAGACGCACCAGAUUUAGGUUCUGACGCCCUAGGCGUGUCGGUUCAAGUCCGACCUACCGCA
rnacentral:tRNA from 1 species